rnacentral:lncRNA from 1 species
UUUAUGCCCUUUUAUUUUAUCACAAUUUAUGUGUUUGUCUAAGUUGAUAUGUUUUUAGUAGAUUUUUCUUUUUCUAGUUGUAUAUGCAAUGCUUUAAAGAUUCUCCCAAAUUUUGAUUCGUUUUAAAUUUUUUUUCUGAAGUUUUGAUUUCAUUGAGUAAGAAAGUAUAUGGUAAUUUAGGGCUGAAAGGCUAAGAUUUUGGGCCCUAGGAAAAAUCGAUAAUAUAGGUAUUGUUCGAACACCCAAUUUUUU